UCUCCCACAGAUUCAGUAACUUGAACUGAUCCUUUAUAGAAGUGAUGGGAAAUGAAUUGCGGAAGGACUAGUUCCUGAAGAACUUGUAUGAUAGUGAGUCUUGACAUGCCAAGAUGAAUCUGUAUAGACAACCAAGAGGCUAAAUUCCCCCAAAGAGUGUUACAUACAACAGAGUGCAAAAACUCAAUCAUUCCCUCAUAGCUUAUAUCUCUCAAAAGGCCAUAUUGUCCCAGUCCACAUAAGUAUUGCUUGUCAAAAUACAAACUUUUUGUGGACAUGGCACUGCAUUGUUGAAUCUCCCUUAUGUUAAAGGGGAGCAGUGGCAGGGAACAGGCUGGGAUCAUAGCCAAGUAUAGUAAAACAUAUGUAUGCCGGAGGAACUCAAGAAAUGACAUCCGACACCCUGAGGAUUUUCUGCCGUACCCAGGAAUCCGCUGCCCUUGCAGUUUAAGCUGCCUGAUUUCGUACUUCCGGU